rnacentral:pre_miRNA from 1 species
UAUGAUCCUCUUUGUAUUUUUCCACAGCUUUCUUGAACUGCAUCAUCUUUGCAUGAGGCCACAGACUUGGCAUGGCAUUUGUUGCGGUUCAAUAAAGCUGUGGGAAGAUACAAACAGGUUCAAUAAAAUUUCAA